rnacentral:rRNA from 1 species
UUAAAUUGAAGAGUUUGAUCAUGGCUCAGAUUGAACGCUGGCGGCAGGCCUAACACAUGCAAGUCGAACGGUAACAGGAAGCAGCUUGCUGCUUUGCUGACGAGUGGCGGACGGGUGAGUAAUGUCUGGGAAACUGCCUGAUGGAGGGGGAUAACUACUGGAAACGGUAGCUAAUACCGCAUAACGUCGCAAGACCAAAGAGGGGGACCUUCGGGCCUCUUGCCAUCGGAUGUGCCCA